GCCAGGGCUUUCUGCAGCUGCCCCACGCGGCUCUGGGCCCGGGCACACCUGCACUCUGCCUCGCUCAGCCGGCUGCUCAGGGUCGCCAUCUGGAUGCGGGAGUCAUCCUGGGCAGAAGGACUGAGCCUAGCCUGGUACCUCUGCCACCUGCUGUGAGGGCUGUGCCAUCCUGCCCAGCUGCCCCACAGGGGCCUUUCUAGAGCCCCAGCCAGGCCGUUGGCCUCCCUCUGCUCCCCAGCUCUGCACCACCUCCUGGAGGCCACCUGUGACCUAUCUUGCCUGCUGGAUGGGAACUCCCUGUGGGCAGGGACAGAUGGUGGCCCGCAGCUCGCUGUUGAAAAGCAACAGUACGUCCUUCUCGCGGGCCUCGUCACUCAGCGCCCGGCGGGCCUCCUGGGCCUCCCUGUGCAGCCCCUCCCGGCUCUCCUCGACGCCCUGCAGCUCCUGGCGCAGUGCGGCCAGUCCCUCCUGGGCCACGGUCAGCUGUGCCCGCAGCCUCUCAGCCUGGGGAGGACCAUUCAGCUCUAGAGGCCCGCUGGGGACCACUGCUCCAGGGAUAGCCACAGGGGCCUGUGGCCUCUGACAUGGUGUGGCAGGCACAGGUGCCCUGCCCAACUUGGUCCCCAUGCGCUUUGCUCACCCCAUGGAGCCACCAAUCCCUAGUGCUGCGGAGGCUGCAGGGCGGCUUCCACGGGCUGAGGCAGGGCCAGCCUAAGAGCCCAGAAGACCCCACCUUGAGCCCCUGGGCCCGGCCCCACGCUGCGGCCUCUCUGGACCCCCAGGACGCUGACCACUGCCGCUAGGUCCUGGAGGCUCUCGCGUAGGGCCGUGGUCUCCCUCUGAUGGGCUGUGAUGGCAUCCUCAAACUGGGCCUGGAGGGCCUUCAGCUCCUCAGUCGUGGCACUGAUGGUGGCCUGCGGGGAGAAGGGAGCCCACGGUGGCACCAGGGAGCUGGGCCCAGCAGUGGAGGGUGAGGCUGCUGGGAUGAGGAGACAUCCACGGCCCCUGACAGCUGUGAUGUCGCCCUCUCCCGCUGCGCAGUGCCCUGGGGAUGGGGCACAAGCCCUCCAUCCCGGCUCCGAGUCACCGAGCGUCCCCCAAGGCCCCGCUGCCUGGACGCCCCGGCCCCCCAGCAGGCGGCCUGCGCGUGCCUCUGUGCAGUCAGUGAGAAGGGCUCCCGUUCAGAAUGGGCAGAGAAGGGGGCUGCCUCCCGCGCCUGGCACCAUGGCCUGUGUUCUGUUCACUGCACACUGAACCAUACAUUCAACGCCAGUCAGGACUCAAUGUGGGUGUCCUUUCCUGCCGAGAGUUUCCUCUGGUGCAGGGCCAGCCGCCUCGGGUUGUUUCUCCUUUGGAAGGAUCUCUCUGGGACAGGGCCUGAACAGGACGGGGCAACACUUGAUGCAGUGCAGAGAAGAAAGCUUAAAAGCCCGAAAAUGCUCCAUCUCCCUGAUGGUGUGGGAGAUGCGUGUGAGCGAGACACCCUCAGCUCCAAGGGUGGCACGCUGCUCCGUGGACCAGGCUGUGGAAGCAAUGCCUGUCAAAUCCACACAUGUAUAUUCUCUCUAUGCCCAGGCCCAUCUGGGGGAGGGCAGCCCAGAGACACGUGUGCACCUGUGUGGGCUGACCUAUGCGCAGUGUCACCAAUGUCUGUGACAUUGCUGUAAUGGCAACAAAGCUGGAGGCAACCCAGAUGCCCGUGGAAGGAAGAACAGCCACAGGAAGACCCAGUUCUGGCAGCUCAGCAUGCAGCCCAGAAACAGAAGAACAAAGCUGCAGAUACACAGCUGGGAAAGGCCACCGAGAUGCUUUGAUAAGUGAGAAGAGGAAAGCCCAGGAGCCGGCAUAGACUUUUCAUUCCUUUUGUAUUAAAAAUGCAGUGUUGGGGAGGUAACGCUGUAUAUUUCUGUUUGCAAGCAAUCUUUGGAGGGUGUUGCAUAACAGAAGAUGUAUCAGGUCUUUGUCCUGGAUCCUCGGAGGAAGCUUCUAAACCCUGGGGGUUUCUCAGAAGUGUGGAGCGUCUGCAUUAGUCCUGGCGGGCCCCUGGGACCACACCUGAGUUUAUGCUAAUGAGGUGACUCAGGGUGGGUUCCUACUGAAUUUCAGGAUGGGGACUGUCUGCUGAAAGACCCGUUAUUAGAGGGUUGGGGCUUUGAGCCACGGGAUGUCAGCCCAACCUCCCAGCAGUCAGAGAAGUGGGCUUCAAUCACCUAACCAAUCACUCCACCGAUCACGUUACACAGUGAAACCCCAAUAAAACUCUGGACACCAAAA
ensembl:lncRNA UICLM up-regulated in colorectal cancer liver metastasis